rnacentral:lncRNA from 1 species
UGUAGGCAUCUGGAAAAUGUGUCUUUAUUAAAAUUACAUUUAAAAACGAGUGAUAUUCAGGGUCAUGACUUUCUGAACCCAUCAGAGAGCUGAAUUGCAGGGCAAUUAAAUAGUUUAAAAUGAAGGAAAGAGAGGUGCCUCCUACAAUAACAGAGAUGGGCUGCAAACAUUGGAUGACCUGUGGCAGAGCACGGAAAGAAGGCAAGGAUGACAGCUACAUGCAGACAAGGUCUCCAGAUUUGCCACCCAUGCUGAGUGCCGUGGUGUGAUCAUGGCUUAUUUCAACCUCAACCUCCCCCACUCAAGCGAUCCUCCUGCCUCAGCCUCUGGAGUAGCUGGGACUACAGGCACGCACCACCACACCCAGCCAUAAUUUGCCUCUUGCUGUAACUAAAAGGUCACAAAAACAAAGAAUUCUAAAAAAUCUUCUUCUUAAGUGAAAGAGAUUUAAAAGAACACCUGAAGGGAAAUAAGAAGAGAAACAGAAUAUGAAGAGGAUUCAACCAAAUAGAGCCAAUGAAGGAGACAGAGCAACUUAAAUAAUAAGAGCAAUUUUAAAAAAUGGGACAAAAAGGAAAGGAUACUCAGUGCAUAGUUGAUGGCUUAAGAAAAUAAGAUUUUUUUAUAUUAUACUUUAAGUUCUAGGGUACAUGUACACAACA